rnacentral:lncRNA from 1 species
CUUUCUCCUGCUCUAGGCCCAGCGCCUUGGACGUGCACAGUAGAUCCCUCCCGGCUUCCCGGCUUCCCGUCUCGUCACCCUCUGCUCAGAACCUGAGGACGCAGCCAUGGAGCGGUCGGCCUUCAUGGAGCUGGAUGCUGGGAGCAGGCUGGUGAUGCAUCUCCGCGAGUGGCCAGCCCUGCUGGUCAGCAGCACGGGCUGGACAGAGUUUGAACAACUUACUCUUGAUGGACACAACCUUCCUUCUCUUGUCUGUGUGAUAACAGGGUCGGUGGACCUGGGUGUCUGUCUGCACAUGUCCUCCAGUGGCCUGGACCUGCCCAUGAAGGUGGUGGACAUGUUCGGGUGCUGUUUGCCUGUGUGUGCCGUGAACUUCAAGUGCUCACCUGGUGGGUUUGAAUCAGUUAAACGAUUGUCAUGCUGUGGCCUCACUCCACCCAGCAUAGAUGGCUGUUUGGAAGGGCGGCGUUAGAGGAGAUUCUAGAAGCAGUAGCCCCAGCACAAGCUGAGCCCUUGGCCCCUGCUCAGGAGCUGGCUCCUGGAUGGGAUUCAGGGAUGUGAGCCCCUCAUGUGAACUGAGCUCAGGAAAUGUCGGGAUCAAACCUGGUGCCCUAGAAAAGUCAUCUUUUAUGUGCUGAGCCAGUCCCCAGGGUGUUGUCUUUACUUGUUCCAUGGCCAUGGAAUUAAGAAAAACAUGCAAAAAUAAUUCUUCAGUCCUUGAAGAGCAUCCAGCACAGAAGUUUACAUGAGCUGGUGAAACAUGAAGAAAAUGGCCUGGUCUUUGAGGACUCAGAGGAACUGGCAGCUCUGCAGAUGCUUUUCUCAAACUUUCCUGAUCCUGCAGGCAAGCUAAACCAGUUUUGGAAGAACCUGCGGGAGUCGCAGCAGCUCCGAUGGGAUGAGAGCUGGGUGCAGACUGUGCUCCCUUUGGUUAUGGACAUACAACUCCUGGGCCAGAGGCUAAAACCCCGGGACCCCUGCUGUCCUUCCCGCAGCUUCUUCUCGGAGUCUCAGGGCAAACCCUUUUGAGCAGCGCCUCCCAGUGGCCAGAAGCUGAAAUGACGGCAGUGGUGCCGCCUGGUGAAUGAAUUGGUUCUGUGACCCGG